ACAUUAACACUCUACCACCUGUUUCCAAAAAGCUACACUGAUUGCAAGCUUGCUCUUUGCUGGGUCAUCUCAUUGAACUGGGCCAGAUCAUGCUGGGUGUUGACCUGCCUCCGGACAGCCAAACAAGUGACAUGGGCUGUAGGAAAUAUCAGUGAUGACAAAGUGAAAGAGAUGGAGAUGCCAAGGAGGCUGUCAAGUAGCUCUUCUAAACCACAAAUUUCAACAGAUCGGCUGCAACUUUUGUUCAUGCAAAACAAGUUUUAAUACCGAGAGUUACUACAUGAGCUAAGAACAACCCUGCAUGAUGAGCAUGCUGGAAUGAAAUUCCCAGCACAGGCUGCAUCCUGUCCUGUUGCCACACUCCCUGGUUUCUUUCACCACAAUGCUGCUUGGAACAAAGCUAAAUCUGAACAAAUAAAUAAAUUAACAAUUGUUACAUCUUCCAUGAUUUCACUUUGAAAUUUUUUGUCAAUUAAAACAUGUC